rnacentral:rRNA from 1 species
UACGUAGGGGGCAAGCGUUGUCCGGAUUUAUUGGGCGUAAAGAGCGUGUAGGCGGCUAGGUAGGUCCGUUGUGAAAACUCGAGGCUCAACCUCGAGCUGUCGAUGGAAACCAUCUAGCUAGAGUCCAGAAGAGGAGAGUGGAAUUCCUGGUGUAGCGGUGAAAUGCGCAGAUAUCAGGAAGAACACCCGUGGCGAAGGCGGCUCUCUGGGACGGUACUGACGCUGAGACGCGAAAGCGUGGGGAGCGAACAGG